GGGCCGGUGGCUUAGUCAGGAUAUAGCACUGGCCUUCUAAGCCAGUGGUCUCGGGUUCGAAUGCAUGCGAUCAUGCCGAAAUUCCCGACCGGCCCG
rnacentral:tRNA from 1 species